ACAUACUAAUAAUAACCAGCCCGAUAGACCUCUGCUCCUGUGCUCAGUGCUCUUAAGGACAAUAAUGACGACAACAGUCAUAAUAGCCACAGUUUAUUAAGCGCUUACUCUUCCACCUCAGUGUUAAGCGCUUUGCAGGCAACAACCCUCGGAGAAACCUUGGCGGCGCGGCCCGCUGCUUGCUGUCUGAUGCAACAGUUUGCAACGCGGUUCUGGGAGUGGAGGCCUGUGGUGCGGCACUCGGGCCGCUAACGCGCAUGCGCCGUCUGUGUCCUGCCCCGCCCCGCGGCGGGAAUCUUUUCACCAGAUGUGCGGGGCGGGGAUGGAGGCGGGGCCAGAGGCGCGAAGACCUUUUGGCAGAUCGCGCCUGCGAUCUGAGCCGAAUUAGAGUUCUCCGCAGGCAUUGGCUGACUGACCCAGUGAUCCAAAAAAAAAAAAAAAAAAAAAAAGGCCCGAAUCACCCCAAAGGAGCCUGGAGAGAGAAGUUAAAGAGCUAGCUGACUUUUGAGUCGACCUCCCUUCCCGAACCUCCGGAUUUCUGCUGCUGUCCCACCUAUCCUGCCCGGAACGUUUUCUUUGCAGGAGGGAACAUGUCACAUCAAUAUGUUCAGCCUUUCAGAUGUCUGACGAUUCAGAUGAAGACGAUUGUCUUCCAUAUACACAUUCCUCCGGUAUUAUAGAUUGUAACUGACUUCUAUUUUAUUAACUGUUUCUCUAAAUUAACUUUAAAUCGAUUCUCUUUUUAUGUACCCUUGCCUCAAGCGAUAACAUUAGAGAAACCAUAACCUGAAAAUAAGCUCAGAACUAUUCAAAUAAAAAUGUUUGUUGUUGU
rnacentral:lncRNA from 1 species